UCAGUUAACAGCAUUACUGAUUCACAUCAUCCUUCUGCAUCAGAGAUACUGUCAGUUACAUCAGAGCAGUGUCCUGCUGACCUGCAUUCAAAUACAGUCAGUGGUGGAGACACUGAACUCACUUGGAGUAUCUUCACUUGAAGAUUUCCGAUAUGUUCAGGAAGCAGAUCUCUUGCCCAUAUUACGACCCAUUCAGGCAUGAAAACUUGUGUCUGCCUGGAGCCAGAUCAGUGCUUCUUCAGCAUAAAUCCAGAGAAGGGAACCAAAUUUGAGUCAAGAUAAAAACAAAAAACAGCUUCCAGUGAAUCCCAGAGUCCUUACACUCAUAGCAGACCUUGCUGAUCACGAAUGGAGAACAGACUAAUGUUGGACAAAACUUAUUUGACAGAUGUCUGAGGAUAACGUUUGCAGUGUCUAUGCUUUUCAAAUUUAUACUGGAAGAUGCUUUGAAUGUUGAAAAUGACUUGAGAAUGUUG